GACGUAGGUGGCGAACGUUAUCCGGAAUUAUUGGGCGUAAAGGGUGCGUAGAUGGUCUGAUAAGUUAGCAGUGGGAAACCGAGGCUCAACCUCGUGGAAGCUGGUAAUACUGUUAGGCUUGAGUACAGGAGAGGUUAAUGGAACUCUAUGUGGAGGGGUAAAAUCCAUAGAUAUAUAGAUGAACACCAAUAACGGCGAAGGCAGUUAACUAUUCUGUUACUGACAGUGAGGCACGAAAGCGUGGGGAGCAAAACGG
rnacentral:rRNA from 1 species